AUUGAACGCUGGCGGCAUGCUUUACACAUGCAAGUCGAACGGUAACAGGGUGCUUGCACCGCUGACGAGUGGCGAACGGGUGAGUAAUGCAUCGGAAUGUACCGUGUAAUGGGGGAUAGCUCGGCGAAAGCCGGAUUAAUACCGCAUACGCCCUGAGGGGGAAAGUGGGGGAUCGAAAGGCCUCACGUUAUACGAGCAGCCGAUGUCUGAUUAGCUAGUUGGUGAGGUAAAGGCUCACCAAGGCGUCGAUCAGUAGCGGGUCUGAGAGGAUGAUCCGCCACACUGGGACUGAGACACGGCCCAGACUCCUACGGGAGGCAGCAGUGGGGAAUUUUGGACAAUGGGCGCAAGCCUGAUCCAGCCAUGCCGCGUGUCUGAAGAAGGCCUUCGGGUUGUAAAGGACUUUUGUCCGGGAGCAAAUCCUAGUGGUUAAUACCUACUGGGGCUGAGAGUACCGGAAGAAUAAGCACCGGCUAACUACGUG
rnacentral:rRNA from 1 species